rnacentral:misc_RNA from 1 species
GAUGAAGAACGCAGUGAAAUGCGAUAAGUAGUGUGAAUUGCAGAAUUCAGUGAAUCAUCGAAUCUUUGAACGCACAUUGCGCCCCUUGGUAUUCCAUGGGGCAUGCCUGUUCGAGCGUCAUCUACAACCCUCAAGCCCUGCUUGGUGUUGGGCGUCUGUCCCGCCCCCGCGCGCGGACUCGCCCCAAAUCCAUUGGCGGCGGCCCUUGCCUCCCUCUCGCGCAGCACAUUGCGCUUCUCGAGGCGUCGCGGGCCGCGCUCCACGAAGCACGCAAACCAGUCUUUGACCUCGGAUCAGGUAGGGAUACCCGCUGAACUUAAGCAUAUCAAUAAGCGGAGGA